CAGCAGCCGCGGUAAUACGAAGGGGGCUAGCGUUGUUCGGAUUUACUGGGCGUAAAGCGCACGUAGGCGGAUCGAUCAGUUAGGGGUGAAAUCCCAGAGCUCAACUCUGGAACUGCCUUUGAUACUGUCGAUCUGGAGUAUGGAAGAGGUGAGUGGAAUUCCGAGUGUAGAGGUGAAAUUCGUAGAUAUUGGGAAGAACACCAGUGGCGAAGGCGGCUCACUGGACCGACACUGACGCUGAGGCGCGAAAGCGUGGGGAGCAAACAGGAUUAGAUACCCGUGUAGUCCCUGUCUCUUAUAC
rnacentral:rRNA from 1 species